GCGGAUAUGGCGGAAUUGGCAGACGCGCACGGUUCAGGUCCGUGUGUCCCUAAAGACGUGCAGGUUCAAGUCCUGUUAUCCGCA
rnacentral:tRNA from 1 species